rnacentral:rRNA from 1 species
GCUCAGAUUGAACGCUGGCGGCAGGCCUAACACAUGCAAGUCGAACGGUAACAGGAAGCAGCUUGCUGCUUCGCUGACGAGUGGCGGACGGGUGAGUAAUGUCUGGGAAACUGCCUGAUGGAGGGGGAUAACUACUGGAAACGGUGGCUAAUACCGCAUAACGUCGCAAGACCAAAGAGGGGGACCUUCGGGCCUCUUGCCAUCAGAUGUGCCCAGAUGGGAUUAGCUWGUUGGUGAGGUAAYGGCUCACCAAGGCGACGAUCCCUAGCUGGUCUGAGAGGAUGACCAGCCACACUGGAACUGAGACACGGUCCAGACUCCUACGGGAGGCAGCAGUGGGGAAUAUUGCACAAUGGGCGCAAGCCUGAUGCAGCCAUGCCGCGUGUAUGAAGAAGGCCUUCGGGUUGUAAAGUACUUUCAGCGGGGAGGAAGGUGUUGUGGUUAAUAACCRCAGCAAUUGACGUUACCCGCAGAAGAAGCACCGGCUAA